rnacentral:rRNA from 1 species
AUACGGAGGAUGCAAGCGUUAUCCGGAUUUAUUGGGUUUAAAGGGUGCGUAGGCGGAUGAUUAAGCGUGAGGUGAAAUGCCACUGCUCAACAGUGGAACUGCCUCGCGAACUGGUUGUCUUGAAUGCUCCUGCCGUGGGAGGAAUGUGUGGUGUAACGGUGAAAUGCAUAGAGAUCACACAGAACACUGAUUGCGAAGGCAUCUCAAGAAGGGGUUAUUGACGCUGAGGCACGAAAGCGUGGGGAUCAAACAGGAUUAGAUACCCUGGUAGUCCACGCAGUAAACGAUGAUAACUAACCGCUAGGUCGUAGUGAUUCAUUGGCCAAGCGAAAGCGAUAAGUUAUCCACCUGGGGAGUACGACCGCAAGGUUGAAGCUCAAAGGAAUUGACGGGG